rnacentral:lncRNA from 1 species
CCUCUCGGAAGUGCAGGACCCAGAUGAGCACGAAGAUCACCGACAGGAAGCCCACGAGCAGCGCGGACACCAGCAGCCCCAGGAAGCCCCGGUAGCCCUCCAUGGCCAUCAGCACCCCAUGCUCCACGACAGCCUGCUGGAGAACUUGGUGUUGCGGCCGUGGCCUCGGUUCUUAGGGUAACAGGCUGUGGGGCCUCCCGGGGGUGCCGCGGGCCCAAGCUCCAGACGGUCCCACCCCUUAUCCCCCAUCCUCCACCCCCGAUCACGCGGCUGCACCGUGAGCUCUGGCUGCCGUGGUGGCCACCACCUGAAGAAGCAUCCAACCUCCUUGAGGGUUUUAGACCAAGGAAGUGGAGUGUCAAGGCCCUGGUAGUAGAGCUGGAUUAAUGAGUAAGAGAUUUGAAUCUGUGGCCUGCGGCCAUGUUGUUAUUUUUCCCUUGGUAAGGAGAUUAAGUAACUGGGAGGAAGGGCAUUGUGUUGGGAGAUUAAUGUGUCCAUCAGGGUUUCAAUGGAGAAUGGACAGCAUAUUCAAAUUGGGCAAUUCAGUAAUGACCAGGACUAUUUACAUUUAGUGGGCAGGGUUUUAACACUGUCCCGGGGUCUCCCAGUGGCUAAGCAGAACCUAACCAGAAGCCAGAGGCUGUGAUGUACCCCUGGCAGGUCAGCUCUCCAGGGCACAGAGCAGAGGACAGGAGGACCUAGCAUGGUGGCAUGUUUCUUCUAGUGUGUAAGAAGAAUAGUAAGUCUAUUAUUCUCAACCAAAAAUAUUAAACAUGGUGGUUUACUUC